AUGAACGCUGGCGGCGUGCCUAAUACAUGCAAGUCGAGCGAACAGACGAGGAGCUUGCUCCUCUGACGUUAGCGGCGGACGGGUGAGUAACACGUGGAUAACCUACCUAUAAGACUGGGAUAACUUCGGGAAACCGGAGCUAAUACCGGAUAAUAUAUUGAACCGCAUGGUUCAAUAGUGAAAGACGGUUUUGCUGUCACUUAUAGAUGGAUCCGCGCCGCAUUAGCUAGUUGGUAAGGUAACGGCUUACCAAGGCAACGAUGCGUAGCCGACCUGAGAGGGUGAUCGGCCACACUGGAACUGAGACACGGUCCAGACUCCUACGGGAGGCAGCAGUAGGGAAUCUUCCGCAAUGGGCGAAAGCCUGACGGAGCAACGCCGCGCGAGUGAUGAAGGUCUUCGGAUCGUAAAACUCUGUUAUUAGGGAAGAACAAAUGUGUAAGUAACUAUGCACGUCUUGACGGUACCUAAUCAGAAAGCCACGGCUAACUACGUG
rnacentral:rRNA from 1 species